GACACUAUGGCCGAGCGGUUAAGGCGUGUGACUAGAAAUCACAUCUCUUCGGAGGCACAGGUUCAAAUCCUGUUGGUGUCG
rnacentral:tRNA from 2 species